UUGUGGAGGAGGACGCCGAAGGUGGGGCUAAUGACUGGGGUGAAGUCGUAACAAGGUAGCCGUGCCGGAAGGUGCGGCUGGAUCACCUCCUAACAGGGAGACAACAAAAUGUUUAAUAUUAUUAUUUUGUCACCUUAGGUCGGUCGGUAUCUUACGUUCUUAAUUUGUUAAGAAUUUCAUUUCCUAAGUUUUUCUAGGUCACACCCAUUAUUUUUCCUGGGCCAUUAGCUCAGGUGGUUAGAGCGCACCCCUGAUAAGGGUGAGGUCCCUGGUUCAAGUCCAGGAUGGCCCAUAUCUCUAUGUUGGGGGUAUAGCUCAGUUGGUAGAGCGCCUGCUUUGCAAGCAGGAUGUCAGCGGUUCGAGUCCGCUUACCUCCACUGAUUACCACCUCUUCCAUAACUGUUAGAAAGGAAAUGUUUUGAGUUGUGAUUAUUAUUCUGAACGAAUCUAGCUUCCUAAUGAAAUCAUUAAGAUGCUGGACUCAUUGAAUUAAUUUCAUUGUUUUCAGAGGACCUUGACAACUGCAUAGAUUUUUUUAAAGACAAUAAGCAUCUUUAAUGAUGCAGAUUUAUUAUUUGUGCGAAUGCAUUAAUAACAAUUCUAUUAAGCUGAUGCUUCAAUUUUGAAGUUAUUGGUCAAGCUACAA
rnacentral:misc_RNA from 1 species